AAUGGCAGAAAACAGCAGAGAUGGAGCCUUUCUAAAAUGGAGUCCCUUCAGCUUUCCUACCUCACUUACAUCAACAAGCCCAUUCCAGAUUUUCUCCAUGCCUGCAGUGGGGAGUGUUUGGACCUUGUCUACUGUGUGGCAAGUUUUGACUAGGGAACGACAUAUGUGUAACCCUGCAUCUUGAACAGUGAUCACAGUUGAAUGCCAUGAAAAAUGAGAGCCACCUCUCUGGAGGUCCAAUCGUCUAGCUGGCUGAGCUGUUGAUAGCCAAAGGCUCUGACCCCACUGUCCCUCCUCAA